GAUCUGCCAGCUUGUGCCUGACUAGUCCUGUCAACAUUGUGAACAGUGGAGAUGGUUUGCCUCAGUUGCACUGUGCACUGUAAAAGCAGUACCAAUGGCUGUGCAGACAUUCCUAAAGAGAAUCUUAGUUUUCUUCCUCCACUUUAAUAGUGGUCACCCAGUGGGUUGAGCAAACAAACAUUUAUUGAGCACCUGGUGUGUACAAGCAUUCGGCUCUGCUUUGGUGCUGAGGAGAGUAAAGCUGCCAGGGAAAACCGAGGGGACACACGGACAGCUCCAGUGGGGUAGCUUUGCAGUGGGACUCACACCUCUUCAUUCUACCAGAAGCCAGAAGAUACUCACUGGGGACAGUCGUGAUGGGAGUUUUUCCAUGAGCAGCAAGAGCUAAUGGGCCGUUUGCCUACAAGAGAAGAUGCUGAAGAAUACCAGCCUCCUAUAUGGAAAUCAUACUUAUAUCAGUUACAGCAAGAGGCACCUCGUCCCAAGAGAAU
rnacentral:lncRNA from 10 species